rnacentral:rRNA from 1 species
GACGAACGCUGGCGGCGUGCUUAACACAUGCAAGUCGAACGGAAAGGCCCUGCUUUUGUGGGGUGCUCGAGUGGCGAACGGGUGAGUAACACGUGAGUAACCUGCCCUUGACUUUGGGAUAACUUCAGGAAACUGGGGCUAAUACCGGAUAGGAGCUCCUGCUGCAUGGUGGGGGUUGGAAAGUUUCGGCGGUUGGGGAUGGACUCGCGGCUUAUCAGCUUGUUGGUGGGGUAGUGGCUUACCAAGGCUUUGACGGGUAGCCGGCCUGCGAGGGUGACCGGCCACCUUGGGACUGAGAUACGGCCCAGACUCCUACGGGAGGCAGCAGUGGGGAAUAUUGCACAAUGGGCGGAAGCCUGAUGCAGCAACGCCGCGUGCGGGAUGACGGCCUUCGGGUUGUAAACCGCUUUCGCCUGUGACGAAGCGUGAGUGACGGUAAUGGGUAAAGAAGCACCGGCUAACUACGUG